rnacentral:rRNA from 1 species
AGUGAACGCUGGCGGUAGGCCUAACACAUGCAAGUCGAACGGCAGCACAGUAAGAGCUUGCUCUUACGGGUGGCGAGUGGCGGACGGGUGAGGAAUACAUCGGAAUCUACUUUUUCGUGGGGGAUAACGUAGGGAAACUUACGCUAAUACCGCAUACGACCUACGGGUGAAAGCAGGGGAUCUUCGGACCUUGCGCGAUUGAAUGAGCCGAUGUCGGAUUAGCUAGUUGGCGGGGUAAAGGCCCACCAAGGCGACGAUCCGUAGCUGGUCUGAGAGGAUGAUCAGCCACACUGGAACUGAGACACGGUACAGAGUCCUACGGAGGCAGCAGUGGGGAAUAUUGGACAAUGGGCGCAAGCCUGAUCCAGCCAUACCGCGUGGGUGAAGAAGGCCUUCGGGUUGUAAAGCCCUUUUGUUGGGAAAGAAAAGCAGCAGGUUAAUACCCCGCUGUUCUGACGGUACCCAAAGAAUAAGCACCGGCUAACUUCGUG